GUAGAGCGGUAGAGCGUUGGGCUAGUGGUCCAAAGGUCGCGGGUUCAAUUCCAGCCA
rnacentral:tRNA from 1 species